CCCACGCUGAAACUCUGCAUCUCUCAUGUUGGCACAAUUAUGGAUUUGUGCAUUUGAAUUAUUUAUGUUUGAGUGGUAUGCCGUGGGACCUACCCACGUGUGGGUCUCUCUUCCCCGCGCAAAGCCCCUCAUUUUCCCCUCACUUCUUUCGGCCAUCCCCACACCUGUCUCUCUUCUACCUCGGUUCCUCUUCUCCCUUCUCCCUCUGUCCCUCAUCCUUCUCUUCUCUCUCUUGGCUCGCUUCUCCCCGAGCAACACAGCCACCACGUUCUCCGGCGACUUCGAACGCCAAAUCACCACCAUCCUCGUCCCAACCUCACAGUAAACACGGAACUAGAACCCAGAGUCCCAGAACUUAGACUCGAACCUGAAAUUGGAGAGCCAGAGCUCCGUCUCGAAUCCGAGAGUUCCGGCGAGUUCAUCGCUUUCCCUACCGAGGUAAGGUCUGUAACUACCUCCGUUUAACUCCUUUCGAUGUUCUAAGUUGUUUUCUAUCCUUGCAUGUGAAAUUUCUUUUACGUUUGCGAGAUUGAACGGAGAGCAAACGUUCUCUACUGUUCCGGCGAGUUGCAGGUUUCCCGAGAUUUUCCUACCAAAUCUCGUCGUCUUGUAUGAGACUGACACCACAAACUAACUGCCCAUAAUCCCAGGGACCAGAUUCGAGCUUUACAUGCUCGAAUCUGUCAGGGAUUCGUAGAGACCUAAACUGGGCUUUCAGGCCAAUUUCCGGCCACCCCUAGCCAUCCCUUGGCCUCGAUUUUGGAAGAGGCCCAGAUUCUAUAUAGACCAGCUGAUUAAUUUAUUUGUGGAACAUGAAGAUGGGAUGAAGUAAAAGCUUUCUGGGAAAGAUUCAAGUGUUCAGAAAUGCUUGUUUUCAUUAUUCGUAUGAAUUGAUUGUUUAUAGAACUAAAUUGUAAAAGCUUGUUUGUAAUAUUUGAAUUUGUUUUUUUUAAUAUUUAACGUAUUGGGCACAAAACAAAACUGUGCUAACAUGGCUUGGAAAAAGUCAGUAUUGUUAGAGCUGUCAAAACUGAGACACAAAAGAACCCCUAUUUGUGCUGAGCUUUUUGGGCAUCAAAGACCAUAAUAUCCCCAAUGAUCAAAGGUUCAUAUGGCUAAGGAAGCAAAAAGAUGCAUUUUGGAGCAUUUUGGAGCAAAAUU